rnacentral:rRNA from 1 species
AGUUAGCAUUAUACAGCGAAACUGCGAUGGCUCAUUAAAUCAGUUAUCGUUUAUUUGUUGAUGCCUUACUACUUGGAUAACCGUGGUAAUUCUAGAGCUAAUACAUGCUAAAAACCUCGACUUCGGAAGAGGUGUAUUUAUUAGACGAAAAGCCGAUGCCCUUCGGGGUUCUCUGGUGAUCCAUAAUAACUUCUCGGAUCGCACGGCCUUGCGCCGGCGAUGGUUCAUUCAAAUUUCUGCCCUAUCAACUUUCGAUGGCUGGGUCUUGGCCAGCCAUGGUGACAACGGGUAACGGAGGGUUAGGGCUCGACCCCGGAGAGGGGGCCUGAGAGAUGGCCACCACAUCCAAGGAAGGCAGCAGGCGCGCAAAUUACCCAAUGACCAUACGUCGAGGUAGUGCCAAUACUACUGAUUCAGGGGCUCUUUUGGGUUCUGUAAUUGCCCCUAUUA